UAGGGAAUUUUCGUUCAAUGGGGGCAACCCUGAACGAGCAAUGCCGCGUGAGCGAAGAAGGUCUUCGGAUUGUAAAGCUCUGUUGCCGGGGAAAAAGGAAGGAAAGAGGAAAUGCUUUUCUUUGGAUGGUACCCGGCCAGAAAGUC
rnacentral:rRNA from 1 species